CAUGGCAAUGGGGUGCUGGCUGGCGAAUCUGCCCUGCUGGCGUCAGGGCGCAAAGGCAUGAUCCUGCAUCCGACCAUGA
rnacentral:tRNA from 1 species